GAGGGUAUAACUCAGUGGUAGAGUGUGUGCUUAGCAUGCAUGAGAUGCUGGGAUCAAUCCCCAGCACCUACG
rnacentral:tRNA from 1 species